UACGUAGGGUGCGAGCGUUAAUCGGAAUUACUGGGCGUAAAGCGUGCGCAGGCGGCCAGACAGGUCAGCUGUGAAAACUCGAGGCUCAACCUCGAGACGUCGGUUGAAACCGUCUGGCUAGAGUCCGGAAGAGGAGAGUGGAAUUCCCGGUGUAGCGGUGAAAUGCGCAGAUAUCGGGAAGAACACCAGUGGCGAAGGCGGCUCACUGGCCCGAUACUGACGCUGAUGCACGAAAGCGUGGGGAGCAAACAGG
rnacentral:rRNA from 1 species